AGGUGAGCCACUGUAUUGUUAGUAACCCGGUAAAUUACGGCGCUGUCGUUCGUUAGAAGGAAGACAACUCGGUUGGGAUUGUACGAACGCUCACAGAAGUAAUAAAGAACAACUGUAUAUUUAUACUUUUAAUGAAUUUUUCUCAAUUAUGAAUGGAUAUUUUGGAUAAAACACACCCACUAAACUGGAAAAUGGUCGUCCAUAUGCACUAUCUUUUUUCAACUUCGUGAUGCAAUUCGGAUAGGUACCCAAAGUUGGAUUCCCUGAGAAUGCCUCAUUACCACAGAGUUAUUGCGUUGAACAGCCGUCCUUGAUCAUUAGUCGAUGGAUAGUGGGUCACAACAAAUGGAUAUAAACGACUGAAUCUGGUAAAACUACCAGGUGACCAACAUGACCAAGUGACUGCCAAGCUUUGAAAAUACCUCCUUUUUAAAUGCAGCAAUUGACGUUCAAGUAACAGGAUAACACCUGUUAUAUACUGCCGUAUGUCUUAGUUAAAAGAAGCAGAAGAAGAUGGUUUAAUUUGUAAAUGCUAGUGAUGUAAAAACUAUACUCAAGUGACAGACCUGGUGACAGUAAUGCAGGUUCAGGAAGUUGUUCAUACAGUUCAAUAUAAACCUCUUGAGGGAAUCAUUUGAGGAGACUAACUGUCCAGUGUGUUGGUUUAUAACAUGUUUAAACACAGAUAUUGGUACACUCAGAAUCAACGUGGAAACUGUUGGUGAGAUGUGUACAUCAUUCAGCUUUGGUAUCCUGGAACUCAUGAAGUGCAAUGUUCAAAUAGCACUCAGUUCAAUGUUUGAAGAGCCUUCAAUGGUAUUUCUAUUUUGCUUGAACAGAACAGUACCGACUCCCAUUACAGUUGUAGCAUUAAGUGACGUGGAAGGCACUGUAGCUCAGCCUAAUUAUUAAUUGUACAAGAAUGUAGCCUGUACAUAUACAUUUUGUAUCAAGAGGAAGUGAAAUUAUUUAUAUGCAUGUCCGGAAGUGCCUAGCUGUGUACAUGGAUGUCUUUGUAGAAAAAUCAUUAUUGUUAAGUUUUAAACCUUUGCUUUAGUUGCUAUAAAAUUUUAUUGUAAAACUGAUGAAAUAACCAGCAUCUUUUAAUAUUCUUAAAUAUCACUUAUUCAUAUGAUGGAUUAUUUCUAUUGCAAUGUAUUGCUAACUCACAUUGUUGUCACUGUUAUGAUAUGUCACUUAAGGUAUUUCUGCACGUUUGAAAAACCGGAAGUGAUGGCAUAACGUCACUUAUUUGGAAAACGUAGAAUAAUGCCUGGAUUCGGCGUACGGAAACAAAAAUCAGUUUAUGAAUUA
rnacentral:lncRNA from 1 species